AUACGAGUUUGGGGGUUAGAAGUGACUCCUCCUUCCUUGACAACCUCUACACCAUUUUGCACUGCCUGAAUUUUACAGUUAGACCAAGCCCAUUGCAGUCAUUGACCUUGAUCACACUAUUUGAACACAGAUUUUCCCUGGGUUCAAAGCUGUGCAUAUAUGUGUUCACAGCAUCUACACCAGAGUUACCUCUAAUAAGUCUUAUGGGACUCUAUAAACCAAUGAUUUAUAAGCCUUGAGGGAAGAAGGGGAAGUGUUUUCCACAAACAUCUUCGUAUCUUCUGAAAAAAAAAAAUAGGAUUGUGAUGGCUAUCUUCAAGAAAUGCACCAAUUCAGAUUCAUUCCUCUCCUUGUGGAAGUCUCAGGAUUUAUUAGGUGCAAAGCUAAGUCAGGUAUAAAGUCUGUAGCAACUGCUCUAAAACCAUACAGAGUCAAAUAAAAAUACGAUCCCUCUUCUUUAAUGUUAUAUAUAACUGUCCUAUAGGUUCCUACAGAAUGUCAUGGAAGGAAACAGACCCAGAAAUGAGAUCACAGCAAUUAGCACCAUUGUCACCAGAUCUGAAAGUGAUAAAAUGAGGAGCUCGUCUGUAACACCUGCUUUCCCUCAACAUUUAUAUAAACACUUCUGCCAACACAGUGCUGCUGCCAAGGAAUUUGGGUACAGCUGACCCCUGGAAACAAGGAGUGAGAAAAUUACUACUCUGAGGAUUAGAGAUGCAUCAAAACCAAACCAAAACAAAACAAAAAGACCCACCAAAGCCCAAAUCCUCCUACAGCUGCUGGACUUCAGGGCCUUGACUCCCCACAAAAUGAAGUGUUAAUAAGACCCUGCUAUAAAAUAAAGGAAUUGCCAAUAUUUCUGACAGUAA